rnacentral:lncRNA from 1 species
GUAAUGAGAUAUUGUUGAGACAGUUUGAUAAGUUGUGUUAGUUCUAUGCCUCAUUUUGGGGGUGAUUUUAUUGGGGAACUUCGUAAUGAGAUAUUGUUGAGACAGUUUGAUAAGUUGUGUUAUAUAUAUAUAUAUAUAAUUGAGCUCCUAUGCUUUUAAAAGUAUCAAGUCAUUGAUGCUUGUAAGUUUUUAACCCUUGGAUUAAGGGAUAUGCGGUUAAGAUGAUGUAGGGUCUUUAGGGUUGAGUGGGUGGUUGGUUGAAUAGUAUAAUCUAACGGGUGAAAAUGAUCAAAGGCAUAGAUCUAAUGGUAAAAAAUUUAUAAGCACCAAAUACUUGCACUUUCACAAGCAUCAUAACUAAACUCUCUCUCUAUAUAUAUAUCUUCUAAAUCUUUUCUAUUAAAAAAAAAAAAU